GAUGAAGAACGUAGCGAAAUGCGAUAAGUAGUGUGAAUUGCAGACUUUAGUGAAUCAUCGAAUCUUUGAACGCACAUUGCGCCCCUUGGUAUUCCAUUGGGCAUGCCUGUUCGAGCGUCAUUUACACCCUCAAGCUCACGCUUGGUGUUGGGCGUCUGUCCGCGCUUUCGAGCGUGGACUCGCCCCAAAUCCAUUGGCAGCGGCUUCGCCGGCUUCUCGCGCAGCACUUUGCGUUCAAGAAGGUCUUCGUCGGGCUCGCGUCCAUCAAGUCACCCCUCAUUUUGACCUCGAAUCAGGUAGGGAUACCCGCUGAACUUAAGCAUAUCAAUAAGCGGAGGA
rnacentral:misc_RNA from 1 species